rnacentral:rRNA from 1 species
CCUACGGGGGGCAGCAGUGGGGAAUAUUGGACAAUGGGGGCAACCCUGAUCCAGCCAUGCCGCGUGUGUGAAGAAGGCCCUCGGGUUGUAAAACACUUUCAGUGAGGAAGAACGCCUGGUGGUUAAUACCCAUCAGGAAAGACAUCACUCACAGAAGAAGCACCGGCUAACUCCGUGCCAGCAGCCGCGGUAAUACGGAGGGUGCGAGCGUUAAUCGGAAUUACUGGGCGUAAAGCGCGCGUAGGUGGCUUGAUAAGCCGGUUGUGAAAGCCCCGGGCUCAACCUGGGAACGGCAUCCGGAACUGUCAAGCUAGAGUGCAGGAGAGGAAGGUAGAAUUCCCGGUGUAGCGGUGAAAUGCGUAGAGAUCGGGAGGAAUACCAGUGGCGAAGGCGGCCUUCUGGACUGACACUGACACUGAGGUGCGAAAGCGUGGGUAGCAAACAGGAUUAGAUACCCCUGUAGUC